rnacentral:rRNA from 1 species
CUCGCUCCGAAUCCGGGAUAGAACCCUUGCCUUUGAGUACCUCUGUUUCCUCGGUGGGCUCGCCCACCGGUGGACAACUCGAAACUCUUGUAGCAGCAGUAUCUUCUGAGAAAAAUCUUUAAUAGUCAAAACUUUCAACAACGGAUCUCUUGGUUCUGGCAUCGAUGAAGAACGCAGCGAAAUGCGAUAAGUAGUGUGAAUUGCAGAAUUCAGUGAAUCAUCGAAUCUUUGAACGCACAUUGCGCCCUUCGGAAUUCCGUUGGGCAUGCCUGUUCGAGCGUCAUUUGCAUAUUCAAGCCCAGCUUGGUGUUGGGUGCUUGUCCCCCGCCCGGCGGCGGACUCACCUCAAAUGCAUUGGCGGCCGGUAUGUUGGCUACAGCGCAGCACAAGGCGCCUCUUGCCUCUGCAUACCAGUCCCCCAGAAGCCAUCCACGAGCUUGACCUCGGAUCAGGUAGGGAUACCCGCUGAACUUAAGCAUAUCA